rnacentral:rRNA from 1 species
UACAGAGGUCUCGAGCGUUGUUCGGAUUUACUGGGCGUAAAGGGAGCGUAGGCGGUUUGGUGUGUCGAAUGUGAAAGCCCGCAACUCAACUGCGGAAUGGCAUUCGAAACUACCAGGCUAGAGUACUGGAGAGGAGAGCGGAAUUCUUGGUGUAGCGGUGAAAUGCGUAGAUAUCAAGAGGAACACCGGUGGCGAAGGCGGCUCUCUGGACAGAUACUGACGCUGAGGCUCUAAAGUUAGGGGAGCAAACAGGAUUAGAUA